GCCCGGGUGGCGGAAUUGGUAGACGCACUACCUUGAGGUGGUAACGGCUUAGGUCGUGGGGGUUCGAGUCCCCCCUCGGGCACCA
rnacentral:tRNA from 1 species